AACAGGAUUAGAUACCCUGGUAGUCCACCCCGUAAACGUUGGGAACUAGUUGUGGGGUCCAUUCCACGGAUUCCGUGACGCAGCUAACGCAUUAAGUUCCCCGCCUGGGGAGUACGGCCGCAAGGCUAAAACUCAAAGGAAUUGACGGGGACCCGCACAAGCGGCGGAGCAUGCGGAUUAAUUCGAUGCAACGCGAAGAACCUUACCAAGGCUUGACAUAUACGAGAACGCUGCAGAAAUGUAGAACUCUUUGGACACUCGUAAACAGGUGGUGCAUGGUUGUCGUCAGCUCGUGUCGUGAGAUGUUGGGUUAAGUCCCGCAACGAGCGCAACCCUCGUUCUAUGUUGCCAGCACGUAAUGGUGGGAACUCAUGGGAUACUGCCGGGGUCAACUCGGAGGAAGGUGGGGAUGACGUCAAAUCAUCAUGCCCCUUAUGUCUUGGGCUUCACGCAUGCUACAAUGGCCGGUACAAAGGGCUGCAAUACCGUGAGGUGGAGCGAAUCCCAAAAAGCCGGUCCCAGUUCGGAUUGAGGUCUGCAACUCGACCUCAUGAAGUCGGAGUCGCUAGUAAUCGCAGAUCAGCAACGCUGCGGUGAAUACGUUCCCGGGUCUUGUACACACCGCCCGUCAAGUCAUGAAAGUCGGUAACACCUGAAGCCGGUGGCCCAACCCUUGUGGAGGGAGCCGUCGAAGGUGGGAUCGGUAAUUAGGACUAAGUCGUAACAAGGUAGCCGUA
rnacentral:rRNA from 1 species